rnacentral:rRNA from 1 species
GAUGAACGCUGGCGGCGUGCCUAAUACAUGCAAGUCGAGCGAACAGACGAGGAGCUUGCUCCUCUGAUGUUAGCGGCGGACGGGUGAGUAACACGUGGAUAACCUACCUAUAAGACUGGGAUAACUUCGGGAAACCGGAGCUAAUACCGGAUAACAUGUUGAACCGCAUGGUUCAACAGUGAAAGACGGUCUUGCUGUCACUUAUAGAUGGAUCCGCGCCGCAUUAGCUAGUUGGUAAGGUAACGGCUUACCAAGGCAACGAUCCGUAGCCGACCUGAGAGGGUGAUCGGCCACACUGGAACUGAGACACGGUCCAGACUCCUACGGGAGGCAGCAGUAGGGAAUCUUCCGCAAUGGGCGAAAGCCUGACGGAGCAACGCCGCGUGAGUGAAGAAGGUCUUCGGAUCGUAAAACUCUGUUAUUAGGGAAGAACAAAUGUGUAAGUAACUAUGCACGUCUUGACGGUACCUAAUCAGAAAGCCACGGCUAACUACGUG